rnacentral:rRNA from 1 species
AUGAAGCUUUCUAAGGAACAAGGAGGACUGGGGUAUAGGGAUCUCCACUCGUUUAACAUCGCAAUGCUUGCCCGACAGGUGUGGCGUCUGAUCCAAGCCCCUGACUCUCUUUGCGCUCGUGUCCUACAAGCCAAGUAUUAUCCGGACGGAGACAUUCUUUCUGCUGCAACUGCUCCUGGCAUAAGCUAUGUUUGGCGGAGCAUCCUUCAGGGAGUUGAGGUCAUUAAGGAGGGGAUGGUGUGGCGCGUUGGCAAUGGCGACAAUAUUAGGAUCUGGCAGGAUCCAUGGCUACCUUCUGGUGCGGUCAGGUACCCCAAGAACGAGGAGGGGAAGCACCCUGCUGACUAG